rnacentral:rRNA from 1 species
UACGGAGGGGGCUAGCGUUGUUCGGAAUUACUGGGCGUAAAGCGCACGUAGGCGGCUUUGUAAGUUAGAGGUGAAAGCCCGGGGCUCAACUCCGGAAUUGCCUUUAAGACUGCAUCGCUAGAAUUGUGGAGAGGUAAGUGGAAUUCCGAGUGUAGAGGUGAAAUUCGUAGAUAUUCGGAAGAACACCAGUGGCGAAGGCGACUCGCUGGACACAUAUUGACGCUGAGGUGCGAAAGCGUGGUGAGCAAACAGG